UCCAAAAGCUUGGUUGAACAGGAUUUUGUUCUAAUGUUCGGAGAGGAUACCUCAAGCAAGCUUCUGGAAAGGUGGCCGGUCACGUUCAAGAAAAAGAUCAUCAAACAAUGCAGAAAGCUUCCAUCCACAAGUGAGCUUGAAGAACUCUUGCUGGCAGCUGAUCCUCCUGAGGAUGGCACUGAAUUGGAUGUUGACUUUGGUUGGGACAGUGAUCUGUCAUCGGUUUUACUGCUUAUACACCUGAUUCCACCCUCCGCUCAGGGUCGGAAGAGACCAGGAAAGGUUUCCGCAUCCCAAGCAGAGAAACAUCUUGUGGUAUUCAAGAAGGUUUGUAUUUUUUCUAAUUUGUGGUAUGAACACCUAAUAUUAGGCUACAAGUAUUCAUUCAAUAUUCAUAUUCAAUAAGAGUAGUGUAUUGG